GUAACAUUUCUAGCUUGCUAGAAGAUGACGAGCGGCGGACGGGUGAGUAAUGCUUGGGAACUUGCCUUUGCGAGGGGGAUAACAGUUGGAAACGACUGCUAAUACCGCAUAAUGUCUUCGGACCAAACGGGGCUUCGGCUCCGGCGCAAAGAGAGGCCCAGGUGAGAUUAGCUAGUUGGUAAGGUAACGGCUUACCAAGGCGACGAUCUCUAGCUGUUCUGAGAGGAAGAUCAGCCACACUGGGACUGAGACACGGCCCAGACUCCUACGGGAGGCAGCAGUGGGGAAUAUUGCACAAUGGGGGAAACCCUGAUGCAGCCAUGCCGCGUGUGUGAAGAAGGCCUUCGGGUUGUAAAGCACUUUCAGUUGUGAGGAAAAGUUAGUAGUUAAUACCUGCUAGCCGUGACGUUAACAACAGAAGAAGCACCGGCUAACUCCGUGCCAGCAGCCGCGGUAAUACGGAGGGUGCGAGCGUUAAUCGGAAUUACUGGGCGUAAAGCGCACGCAGGCGGUUUGUUAAGCUAGAUGUGAAAGCCCCGGGCUCAACCUGGGAUGGUCAUUUAGAACUGGCAGACUAGAGUCUUGGAGAGGGGAGUGGAAUUCCAGGUGUAGCGGUGAAAUGCGUAGAUAUCUGGAGGAACAUCAGUGGCGAAGGCGACUCCCUAGCCAAAGACUGACGCUCAUGUGCGAAAGUGUGGGUAGCGAACAGGAUUAGAUACCCUGGUAGUCCACACCGUAAACGCUGUCUACUAGCUGUGUGUGCCUUUAAGGCGUGCGUAGCGAAGCUAACGCGCUAAGUAGACCGCCUGGGGAGUACGGCCGCAAGGUUAAAACUCAAAUGAAUUGACGGGGGCCCGCACAAGCGGUGA
rnacentral:rRNA from 1 species